UUGCACCUCAUAUCAAGCAAGACUACCCGCUGAACU
rnacentral:rRNA from 1 species